rnacentral:lncRNA from 1 species
UCUGCUGGAUAAUGCUUGGAUAUGAUAGGGAGAAGUGAUGUGUUAAUCAGUUCUGGGAGUUAAAGGGUUAAAAGCAACCAUCUUAGUUGUGUAUGAAUAUGUAUAUCAUUUUUUGGCUGACCAGGUAAAACUUAAACAUUAAAGUUUCUAAGUAGAUAAUUGUUUAUGAAAGGAGGUUUUUUUUUUAGUAAUCUUAAAAGCUAGGUAGGUAUUUAUCCAUGCAUAUCACAGUACAUAAUUUUGUUGCUGACAUGUGGUUGAUUAUUUACCUUUCAAUGAAAUUUAAACUGUAAAGUAACAACUUUUUGCUGUUUUGUUUAAGAUCUCCAGAAGGCUGAUCAUGACCAUCAUUAUAUAGGAUGCUGGAAUUUGGGGUCAAGUUGGUUGUUACAAAGCUUUGAAUAACACCAGGUUCCCGAGGUUCCUGUCUUUGAGGAUAUAAUUUCAAAUCAGCAAUGCUGGGAGGGACACCCUGUUGCCUGUGAGGAAACAAUUCCAAAAAAGCAAAAGUAUACUCAGCACCAUAGAAAUGUGUAGCUGAACAGUGCCAAAGAUCACCUGACUGAAUCUGAUUUCACCCUCAGGUAUUACAUAGCUGGCAAGCAGCUCUCGUUAUUAGCACCGCAGGACGCCCUUUUCUCCGCCCGCGGGAAGAUUGGAAGCGAGUCAGGGAGAGAGAUUUGCCAGAAGUCUGGAACUACUCUGAGACCCAUAUUAGCUCAAGGCCUUGUAAUUUCCCGCGGAGGAUGAAGCGCUCGUGACGAAGCGAGGGCCUGCUGGCCGGCAAGGCAUCUGGAAUCCAGAGCAUUCUCACAAAGACAUCUGGCAACCGCACAACUUAAAGGAAGGGUGAAGUCGAGGUCAUGCAUAAAUUAAAGUGAUCAGAAACAUGAAGGGAAAGCUAAAACCAAAGACAACAAAUGCGAUUGUCUGCACACUGUUGAAUGGAAGUAUCAACCUUAAAAUCCUCGCUAGUCAGAUGCAAAUGAAGUCGAGAUAGAUCACAUUUUCUGACAUGGAAGGCAAAAGAAACGCUUUCUCUAAGUUUUGGAGGAAACUAGCACUUGAAGAAAUUCUGUAAAUUUUCAAUACUCUAUACGUUGUUAUUUGUUUGUUCUCACUUUCCUCUAGUUUUCCACUAGUCACUACUUUCCACGAGCUAUUUCUUGAAUCUUCGGUUAAGUUUGAUUAGCCGCCGAAAGGCCUUCAUAAAAAUAUGCGCACCAGGAGUUACAGUGGAUCUCAUUGCACUGCGUCAAUCCUUCUAGUGUCGGAUUAUCGAAGUGCCCAGUGUCUGUUUAAAGUGAGGAAAGACGUUGAGCCUUCUAUGAACCAGUAAUUUCUGUAAUGUCUUGCAAUUAAACUCUUUCGUUAUAAUG